GACGAACGCUGGCGGCGUGCCUAAUACAUGCCAGUCGAACGCUUCUUUCCUCCCGAGUGCUUGCACUCAAUUGGAAAGAGGAGUGGCGGACGGGUGAGUAACACGUGGGUAACCUACCCAUCAGAGGGGGAUAACACUUGGAAACAGGUGCUAAUACCGCAUAACAGUUUAUGCCGCAUGGCAUAAGAGUGAAAGGCGCUUUCGGGUGUCGCUGAUGGAUGGACCCGCGGUGCAUUAGCUAGUUGGUGAGGUAACGGCUCACCAAGGCCACGAUGCAUAGCCGACCUGAGAGGGUGAUCGGCCACACUGGGACUGAGACACGGCCCAGACUCCUACGGGAGGCAGCAGUAGGGAAUCUUCGGCAAUGGACGAAAGUCUGACCGAGCAACGCCGCGUGAGUGAAGAAGGUUUUCGGAUCGUAAAACUCUGUUGUUAGAGAAGAACAAGGACGUUAGUAACUGAACGUCCCCUGACGGUAUCUAGCCAGAAAGCCACGGCUAACUACGUG
rnacentral:rRNA from 1 species